rnacentral:rRNA from 1 species
UACGGGGGGGGCAAGCGUUGUUCGGAAUUACUGGGCGUAAAGGGCUCGUAGGUUGCCAACUAAGUCAGACGUGAAAUCCCUCGGCUUAACCGGGGAACUGCGUCUGAUACUGGAUGGCUUGAGUUCGGGAGAGGGAUGCGGAAUUCCAGGUGUAGCGGUGAAAUGUGUAGAGAUCGGGAGGAACACCGGUGGCGAAGGCGGGUCUCUGGGCAUUUCCUGACGCUGAGGCGCGAAAGCUGGGGGAGCGAACGGG